rnacentral:rRNA from 1 species
AGUAAUACCAUAUGUGUAUUAUUAAUUGUAUUAAUAAUUAAAGCUACGGCGCUUGUAGAUGAGUGUGCGUCUGUAUUAGCUUAGGUUGGUGUGGUAAUGGCGCAACCAAGGCUACGAUCAGGUAGGGGGCGUGAGAGCGUGAUCCCCCACACGGGUACUGAGACACGGACCCGACUCCUACGGGAGGCAGCAGUAAGGAAUAUUGGACAAUGGGCGCAAGCCUGAUCCAGCCAUCCCGCGUGCAGGAAGACAGCCCUAUGGGUUUUAAACUGCUUUUGGAAGGGAAGAAACACUCGUAUUUAUAUGAGUUUGACGGUACCUUCAGAAUAAGCACCGGCUAACUCCGUG